rnacentral:lncRNA from 1 species
GCAGAUGGGGAACAUCAAGGGACCCUGGAAGGUCUUUUGAUGUAAGCAGAGAAGCAAUGGCUCCAAGAAGGAUGUCAGCUAGUAUGAGGGAAGUAGAGAUGGAUGUUCAGAGAAGAGAUUUCAGUUUGGGAAUCAGAGUGCCAGAAGAAGGUAUGGGAGAUUCUCAGGAGGAUGCUCAGACUCAGGAUUCUAGGAUUUCAGGUUCAGGAGGGAUUGAUCCCUCCACU